ensembl:lncRNA
UGCCACUGUACCUGAAGGCAUCCUUCCAGAAGUUUUCAUAAAGCUAUUACCCUUGAACAAAGAAUAUUGUUGGCAGGUAGACUAACCUGUUUUCUCUGUUUUCUCCUUUCAGUGUAAAUGUACUGCCAGGGAACUCUGCACAGCAGUUUGUUAAACUGACUUAAAAGUAUUUAAUUAUUAGCCACAUGAACUGCAGCAACACAAGGCUGAAGUGAAAGGCAGAGAACCUGUAUACAGAGGCAGGAAAUCCGACUGAUAAAUCCCUGUUCAACUAAAAGGCAGAAAUGGCAGGUCUUCUUAGAUGUAAUAUCUGCAUGGCCUUGUUGGCAGGAUGUUGGGCGUCACGUGUGCUGGAGCUGGAAAAGGUCAACAGCUGGUUCUGAAUGAAAAGGUUGUUCACCUGAGCCCAGCCGCCAGCUUCUCCAUCGCCGCUUUGCGUUCCUCUGCCUUCUGCUGUGAACGCCGCAGGACGUUCCUCAGCUCCUGCAGGUGGUCCAGCGUCCCCACCAGCUCGCCCUUCACCGUUUUCAUCUGACUCUCCAGCAUCUGCGUGUGAUGAAGCGAGUUUCUCCUGUAUCGUCUGCUGGAGCGAACCUUUUCCUCCAGGUUCUUGGUCUGCUGCAGCAUCUUCUCCAUCUUCACCAGUUGAGC